GGGGAGAUGGCCGAGUGGUUGAAGGCGCACGCCUGGAACGCGUGUAGGGGUUAAUAGCCCCUCGUGGGUUCGAAUCCCACUCUCUCCGCCA
rnacentral:tRNA from 1 species